CCCAUUUUCUUCAUCCCUGUGAUUCAUUAAGAAAACUUUCCCUUUCCCUUUCCCUUUCUUCUUUCUCCUUCCGUACUCUGCUGAGUGUUUUUAGCCUUUUAAUCUUUGUUUUCCGAAUUACCCUCCAUCCAUGGCCACCGCCUCUGCAACCCCCGACUGGUGCAGUCUCCCAGACCCCAUUUUCUUCAACAUCGUGCAACGCCUCCAACCCAAACUGAACUCAGCCGUUUCCGCGCCGUCUGCAGCUCGUUCCGCUUUGCCGUCCCUCUCCCCUCUCCGAAACUUUCACUCGUCAUUGCGGAAUCCACUGUCUAUGCCUUGCAACACCUUUCCUACGAGGCCCCUCCGUCGAUAAUCAAAGUUGAAAAAUCAAGCCGGGGAAAAACCCGGGUCCAGGACCCUUACUCUCGCCGCCAUUUUGAAGAGCACGUUCUUGACAUGUUGCCUCAGUCAGUGAACUUGCUGGAAUAUCGCGUGCAGGAAAUCGGUAAAAGGUAUAGAAUUGAUUGGGUUCCGGUUGAACAUCCGAGACAGUUCAGUGUGUGGAAGUAUAUUUUGUUGCAAAAUUUGCCGUCUCUGCAGAUAAUGAUGAGUUAGCGGUCAUGGUUUUUCUGAAUUUUGAGUUGAUGGUUUGGAGAAGCAGUGAGAAGAAAUGGGUCGACUUGGGUUUUGGUGAUGUUGAUGUUCAGGAUAUUGUUUAUUAUAAGAAGCAAUUUCAUGUAGUGAUGUCAAAUGGGCAUAUUUUAAGUGUUGAUCCGAAGUCUUUGGAGCUUGAUGAAGAAGAGUAAGAGGGGAUUGAAGGGAAGGAUUUGGAGGGUCGAGCAUUGUUUCCGUUUGAUGGAGGUAGCUUAUUUACUUCGGCUAAAGAUUUUUUGGGAAUAAAACCAAAUUGUGUUUGUAUGGGUGAAACUGGUUUCUUCGGGGUUACAUAUGAUUUCCCUGGGAUGUAUACUACGAUUUUUGACUUCAAUGACGGUAGUAAUGAGUGGCUCAUAUCAUUUCCUGAAUCUUAUGAGACUUUUUGGUCUCCACCAGCUUGGCUCUUCCCUGAACGUAAGUUUUCUUUUUCUUUUUAAAUUGUGUAUUGUAUAGCACUUGCAGUGAUGAAUUCGCUGGAGUGGACUUGUUUUUAUGGUUCAUUUCUUUAUUUGUGAUAGCAAUGCCAUAUUAAAUUCUGAUUUGUUUGACUAGAUUAAAGACUUUUAACGAGAUUAUGUAAGCAUUGAAAGUGCAGAUUUAAAAAGCACAUCAAAAUUGUAUGUUAGCCGCAUCAGGGGGAGUUGCUUGUAUUUAUAGGUUGUUCCAUGAUUCUGACAGCAGUUCCAUGGUAUUAUUGUAAUAUCUGUGUGUUGAUUAUUAUUUUUAAAUUGAAAUCUGAUUUGUGUAGCUAGAUUGAGGACAAUUUUAACAAGAUUGUGUAAGCACAGGAAAUACUGAUUUAGAAGGGCAUGGUGUAAAACAGUACAUAUACUGACUUCCUAUAUGUAAAUUUUCAAUGUUCAAAUGCUUUUACAGAUUUUAGUUGUUGUUGCUUGUUUUCAAUUGGAUAUGGAUUUGCUUUGCUGUGUUCCUUAUUGUCUCCUUUUGUUACACCAUCUUUCUUGAUGCUUUCUUUGUCGUAAUCCAAGCUUUAGCCAGUUGUGGGUGUGAACUCUUGGAUAAUCAUUCCUCAAGGUUGUUCGGGAGAUAGUUAAAUUACUCUUUGCAGGAUCAUCAAGCAUGAGAUUCAAGCAAAUUUGAUUAUUUAUAGUUGAAUGUUUUAUGCAGUUUCUCUGUUUACUCCAGUUUCAGAUAAUCAAUUUUAGGGAAUGGUUACAAAAUUUCAUGAUCACUCUUCUCUCAGCCAUGAUUCAUUGUCAUAGGGUACUCUGUUUUUCUAUUUCAGUUCUUGAUAGUCUCUGUAUAUUCAUAUGUCAAAACAAAUAUUUAUCUGUAAACUAAAUUUCCUUUUUAUCGGUUCAUUAAUUUGUGCCUUGUGGCAGAUUCUUAAGUUUCUGUGGCUUCGAUAUGUUCAGCCUUUGGUGUUCAUGGCACCUUCUAUAUGUUUUUUAACUUUCACUUCAUAAUAUACAGUAACAUUAUAUC